rnacentral:rRNA from 1 species
GGGUGCGAUCAUUCCAGCACUAAUGCACCGGAUCCCAUCAGAACUCCGCAGUUAAGCGUGCUUGUGCGAGAGUAGUACUAGGAUGGGUGACCUCCUGGGAAGUCCUCGUGUUGCACCCC